CCCCUCUCAGGACCACACCUGGAGAGUAUCCAGUAAUCUACCAGUCUCGACUAAGGUGGGCAGAGUCAAGCAGAGGCCUACCCAUUCCAUUUCUAGCUUGGGCAGUGGCUAGCAAGUGGAAGGCAAUCUGCUACAAGU